ACUUGAAUAGCUUAUUUUAAGAGCAUAACAUUGAAGAUGUUACGGAAAUUGUUAAAAAUUUUUAGGUA
rnacentral:tRNA from 1 species